GCUGGAAUAACUCAGUCAGCAAAGCGUGAGUCUCUUCAUCUCAGGGACAUGGGUUCAAGCCCCAUGUUAGGUA